CAUGGAGGGUGAGAAUCCCGUCCGGCUGACCUUCAGGACGUUUUACGAUACGCUCUCAAAGAGUCGAGUUGUUUGGGAUUGCAGCUCAAAAUGGGAGGUAAAUUUCUCCUAAGGCUAAAUAUUGGCGAGAGACCGAUAGCGAACAAGUACCGUGAGGGAAAGAUGAAAAGAACUUUGAAAAGAGAGUUAAACAGUACGUGAAAUUGUUGAAAGGGAAACGAUUGAAGCCAGUCGUACCGACGGGAAUUCAACUUCUCGAGUGCUAAUCGUGGGUGACGUUGAGCCUCACGGCCUUCGUUGCUUGUGUUGUUGGUGCUUUUGGGGUGUACUUUUCCGUAUGGUAGGUCAGCAUCGAUUUCGAUCGUCAUAAAAUGAUCGGGGGAAUGUAGCUUCGGUCUCGUAUCGGAGUGUUAUAGACCUUGGUAGAUGUGACGAUUGGGAUCGAGGAUUGCAACGAAUACCCUCUGGGCUAUCCGUCUGACCUCUGAAAGUCGCUCGGGUGUCGAAAGCGUGCUUAUGGCUAUUCGAGUUGGCGGUCAACAGGUUAGAACGUGAUUACAUUCGUUAAGGAUGUUGACGUAAUGG
rnacentral:rRNA from 1 species